rnacentral:snoRNA from 1 species
GCCCUGUGAUGAGGAUCUGGCAAAGUUGAGCUGCUUGGCUGGGAGGCUGGGUGUGCUCUCUUGAUGGCUGGUAAUCUUGGCAGGGCUGUAGAGCUUGGCGGCUCUGCUGUAAGGGCCAGCCCACAACAAACCAAGCCCCUCUCCUCCAUCUCCAUUUAUAAAGAAAGAAAUGGACCGAGGAUGAAGGGCUGACAGUGUGUGUGUGAGUGUGAUUUGUAUGUCUCUUUAGUUUGUGUGUGUCUGUGUGUUUGAAUCAGGAGGCAGUCACACUCAGUUCUCUCCUGGAUAAAGUCAGUCAGCUAUGAGCAACUUCUUUGGUAAUCUGAGGGCU